UACGUAGGGUGCAAGCGUUAAUCGGAAUUACUGGGCGUAAAGCGUGCGCAGGCGGUUAUGCAAGACAGAUGUGAAAUCCCCGGGCUCAACCUGGGAACUGCAUUUGUGACUGCAUGGCUAGAGUACGGUAGAGGGGGAUGGAGUUCCGCGUGUAGCAGUGAAAUGCGUAGAUAUGCGGAGGAACACCGAUGGCGAAGGCAAUCCCCUGGACCUGUACUGACGCUCAUGCACGAAAGCGUGGGGAGCAAACAGG
rnacentral:rRNA from 1 species